rnacentral:snRNA from 1 species
AGAGGUAAGAGGAAUCUGGCUAUAUAAAUCAUCCAAUUGAUAAUCAGGGUUGAUUUGGCUGAUCUAGCUAACUAGAUCAGUGUCCUGUUACUGUAACGGUCUGAACCCUAUUUGAUGUAAAAGGAGGCCCAUGUAAAAAUACAGCUUUCCGGAAAGACUGUCCUUCAGUCAAGGGUAUGUAAAUAGCUGUGCCCUCCUGCCAAACCCAGCUCCAAGGUCCAAGAGGGAGAUGGUACCAAUAUCUCUAUUUUACAAACAAGGAACUUGUGGCUCAGAGAUAUUUAGCUGUUUAUCUAU